rnacentral:lncRNA from 1 species
CUGCCACCUCUCUCAACCGACCAGCUCCUGAAGCAGGUCGAGUACCUGAUCCGGAACAACUGGAUCCCCUGCCUCGAGUUCAGCAAGGUCGGGUUCGUCUUUCGUGAGAACAGCAGGUCUCCCUGUUACUACGACGGGCGCUACUGGACCAUGUGGAAGCUGCCCAUGUUCGGCUGCACCGAGGCCACCCAGGUGUACGCUGAGCUCGAGGAGUGCAAGAAGGCCUACCCUGACUGUUACAUCCGUGUCAUCGGCUUCGACAACCUCAGGCAGGUGCAAUGCGUCCUGUUCAUCGCCUACAAGCCCCCGGGCAGCGAGUAGACCGGCGCCGCCAAAUAAAAAGCUUAAAUACUGAGACUCUUCAGCUCCUGCAUGGGCAACCAUGAAGUGUCUGUUCGUUUUUUUUUUUGCUUCGUGUCACCUUGAUUUUGUUUUUUUUUCCUUGCUUGCUUCUGCUGUAUCCAUGGCAUGCAUGCGGAUCUCUCCCCCCAACCGGAGAGUUAUCUACAUAGGACUAGCUACUAUACAACUAUCGAUCGUUGGGUGAGGAACAUGUGAAUGCUAGCUCCGGCUAUGAUAUGUAAUAUGGAUACUAGAGCAUACCCUGCCAAUCCGCCGACAAUACUAGAUCAUGGUUAAUUACUGGUGUUUUUGUCUAAUUUUUGUGUAUCUUUGCUCAAACUUACGCUUCUACGUAAAUCAAAUGUCA